UGUUAGUUGCCAGCACGGUGAUGGUGGGAAGUCUAGCAAGACUGCCGGUGAUAAAUGGGGAGGAAGGUGGGGASGASGUCAAAUCAUCAUGCCCSUUAUGUCCUGGGCUACACACGUACUACAAUGGUCGUAACAGAACCAUGCAAAACAGCGAUGUGGAGCAAAACCUAAAAAGCGACCUCAGUUCGGAUUGAAGGCUGAAAUUCGCCUUCAUGAAGCCGGAAUUGCUAGUAAUUGCAGGUCAGCAUACUGCAGUGAAUACGUUCCCGGGCCUUGUACACACCGCCCGUCACACCAUGAAAGUCGGAGAUACCCCAACCCUGUGAGCUAACUUUAUUGAGGCAGCAGU
rnacentral:rRNA from 1 species